GACAGAGGCCUCGAGCGUUAGGCGGAAUCACUGGGCUUAAAGCGUGUGUAGGCGGGCCCGUAAGUGUCUUGUGAAAUCCCACGGCUCAACCGUGGAACUGCUGGGCAUACUGCGGGUCUUGGGCCAACUAGGGGCAGCCGGAACAAGCGGUGGAGCGGUGAAAUGCGUAGAUAUCAUUUGGAACGCCAAUGGUGAAAACAGGUAGCUGGGAGUGUGCUGACGCUGAGACACGAAAGCCAGGGGAGCAAACGGG
rnacentral:rRNA from 1 species